AAAAAAUUAAAAUAAAUUACUAAAAUAGUAUAUAAUUAUUUAUUGAAACUUAAAUAAUUUGGCGGUAUUUUAGUUCAUUUAGAGGAAUCUGUCUAGUAAUUGAUAAUCCACGAAUAAUCAUAUUUAAUUUAUAAUUUUAUAUAUCGUUGUUAAAAAAAUAUUUUUAAAUAAAAAUAAUAUUUUAAAAUUUUAAUAAUAAAAUUAAUUCAGAUCAAGAUGUAGAUAAUAAUUAAAAUAUAAGAUGGAUUACAAUAUAAAUAUAUAAAUGGAUAUUAAUUUUGAAAUAGUUAGUUAAAAGUGGAUUUAAAUGUAAUUUUAAAUAAUUUUUUAAAAUGAUUAAUAAUUGAAAUAUGUACAUAUUGCCCGUCACUUUCAUUUAAAAAUUGAAAUAAGUCGUAACAAAGUAGGGGUACUGGAAAGUGUUCCUAGAAAGA
rnacentral:rRNA from 3 species